rnacentral:rRNA from 1 species
ACGAACGCUGGCGGCACGCUUAACACAUGCAAGUCGAACGAGAGAAGAGAAGCUUGCUUUUCUGAUCUAGUGGCGGACGGGUGAGUAACACGUGAGCAAUCUGCCUUUCAGAGGGGGAUACCGAUUGGAAACGAUCGUUAAUACCGCAUAAUAUAAUUGAACCGCAUGAUUUGAUUAUCAAAGAUUUAUCGCUGAAAGAUGAGCUCGCGUCUGAUUAGCUAGUUGGUAAGGUAACGGCUUACCAAGGCGACGAUCAGUAGCCGGACUGAGAGGUUGAUCGGCCACAUUGGGACUGAGACACGGUCCAGACUCCUACGGGAGGCAGCAGUGGGGAAUAUUGCACAAUGGAGGAAACUCUGAUGCAGCGAUGCCGCGUGAGGGAAGAAGGUUUUAGGAUUGUAAACCUCUGUCUUCAGGGACGAAAAAUGACGGUACCUGAGGAGGAAGCUCCGGCUAACUACGUGCCAGCAGCCGCGGUAAUACGUAGGGAGCGAGCGUUGUCCGGAAUUACUGGGUGUAAAGGGAGCGUAGGCGGGAUCGCAAGUCAGAUGUGAAAACUAUGGGCUUAACCCAUAAACUGCAUUUGAAACUGUGGUUCUUGAGUGAAGUAGAGGUAAGCGGAAUUCCUAGUGUAGCGGUGAAAUGCGUAGAUAUUAGGAGGAACAUCAGUGGCGAAGGCGGCUUACUGGGCUUUAACUGACGCUGAGGCUCGAAAGCGUGGGGAGCAAACAGGAUUAGAUACCCUGGUAGUCCACGCCGUAAACGAUGAUUACUAGGUGUGGGGGGACUGACCCCUUCCGUGCCGCAGCAAACGCAAUAAGUAAUCCACCUGGGGAGUACGACCGCAAGGUUGAAACUCAAAGGAAUUGACGGGGGCCCGCACAAGCAGUGGAGUAUGUGGAUUAAUUCGAAGCAACGCGAAGAACCUUACCAGGUCUUGACAUCGUAUGCAUAGCUCAGAGAUGAGUGAAAUCUCUUCGGAGACAUAUAGACAGGUGGUGCAUGGUUGUCGUCAGCUCGUGUCGUGAGAUGUUGGGUUAAGUCCCGCAACGAGCGCAACCCUUACUGUUAGUUGCUACGCAAGAGCACUCUAGCAGGACUGCCGUUGACAAAACGGAGGAAGGUGGGGAUGACGUCAAAUCAUCAUGCCCCUUAUGACCUGGGCCUCACACGUACUACAAUGGCUGUCAACAGAGGGAAGCAAAGCCGCGAGGUGGAGCAAACCCCUAAAAGCAGUCUUAGUUCGGAUUGUAGGCUGCAACCCGCCUACAUGAAGUCGGAAUUGCUAGUAAUCGCAGAUCAGCAUGCUGCGGUGAAUACGUUCCCGGGCCUUGUACACACCGCCCGUCACGCCAUGGGAGUCGGUAACACCCGAAGCCUGUAGUCUAACCGCAAGGAGGACGCAGUCGAAGGUGGGGUUGAUGACUGGGGUG